GACGAACGCUGGCGGCGUGCUUAACACAUGCAAGUCGAACGGAAAGGCCCUGCUUUUGUGGGGUGCUCGUGUGGCGAACGGGUGAGUAACACGUGAGUAACACCCCCUUGACUUUGGGAUAACUUCAGGGAACUGGGGCUAAUACCGGAUAGGAGCUCCUGCUGCAUGGUGGGGGUUGGAGAGUUUCGGCGGUUGGGGAUGGUUUGGCGGCUUAUCAGCUUCUUGGUGGGGUAGUGGCUUACCAAGGCUUUGAAGGCUAGCCGGCCUGGGAGGGUGACCGGCCACAUUGCGCCUGAGAGAGGGCGCAGACUCCUACGGGAGGCAGUAGGGGGGAAUAUUGCACAAUGGGCGGAAGCGUGAGGCAGCAACGCCGCGUGCGGGAUGACGGCCUUCGGGUUGUAAACCGCUUUCGCCGGUGACGAAGCGUGAGUGACGGUAAUGGGUAAAGAAGCACCGGCUAACUACGUG
rnacentral:rRNA from 1 species